rnacentral:rRNA from 1 species
UACGUAGGGGGCGAGCGUUAUCCGGAAUUACUGGGUGUAAAGGGAGCGUAGACGGCGAAGUAAGCCUGAAGUGGAAGCCCGCGGCCCAACCGCGGAACUGCUUUGGGAACUGCUUAGCUGGAGUAUGGGAGGGGUAAGCGGAAUUCCUGGUGUAGCGGUGAAAUGCGUAGAUAUCAGGAGGAACACCGGUGGCGAAGGCGGCUUACUGGACCAUGACUGACGUUGAGGCUCGAAAGCGUGGGGAGCGAACAGG